rnacentral:tRNA from 4 species
GGGCGUGUAGCUCAGCUGGUAGAGCAGUUGACUCUUAAUCAAUUGGUCGGGGGUUCGAUCCCUCCCACGCCCACCA